CACUCAUCCCUCGAACGUUUCCAGCAGCCCUCAUCCCUCGAACUCUUCUCCUCCGGUAGAAGGUGGUGUCGCCGCCGGCGGGACAGACCGUGGGUGCCCUCGUCAUCUGGGGAAGCUCUACUCGGCCCUCUUCGCAUCGUUCCUCAUCUUCUCGUCGUCGCACGAAGUUCUGAGUUGAGCUCGUGGUGUCGCCGUCGCGAAGGGUUCCUCCCCUCCUCGCCGUCCAUUGUUUCUGAUUCUCUGCUCCUCGCCGGUUUGUGAUUUUGUGAUUUAAUCUCUGCUCCUCGCCCUCGUUAUUUCUGAUUUUGUGAUUUCAUUUCCGAUUUUGUGAUUUAAUCUCUGCUUCCUUUAAUUCUCAAAGGUGCUUGAUCUGCGGUUUUGCCUCUUAUUUCCAUUUCUCUUUCUUUCUCUCUCUCUCUCUCUCUCUCUCUCUCUCUCUCUCCCUCUCUCUCUCUCUCUCUCUCUCUCUCUCUCGUUUUCUUAGUAGCCAAACAACUUGUUCUUGUUCUUGUUCAGGUAGUAGUUACUGCGUGUAUUGGCUUUGAUGUUUGUGCAAAGGAGUUGAAGAUUGACCAGCCUUGAAGUUUGGUAAAUGUGGUGAUUCAUAUCUUCAAAAUUUGCUUCAAUUUAUUUCUAACACAGGUUGGAGAAGGUGGCACCCAACUUUCUGGAGGACAGAAGCAGAGAAUUGCUAUAGCUGAUUGGGAGUAGCAAAGGUGGUUGAGAACGACAUGUUUGUUUUGAUGAACAAAGAACGAACAUAUUCAAUCUCAAGCUGCACACUGCUGGGAUCAUUGCUGCCAGUUUCGGAUUGGCGAAUCUUUUCUCCAGGCCCGAUGGAGGGUUCAUAUCUGAUGCAGUUUCAAAGAGGUUUGGAAUGAGGGGUACUACUAUUUCAGCACAUGAAUGAUCUGGUCUUAGAGAAUAUUUGUGACCGUGUGAGGAAAGCUGGGAUGAUGAAGAAGAAGCAGCAGUAGAAAGAGCAAGUGAAGUGAAUUUUGCAGAUGAGAUAAGUGGAAUUAAUACAGGACCUCCUUCACCAACUUCAUCUAUUAAUUAUUAGAGCAGCAAAAAUUGUUCAAAUAAGUUAGGAAAUUGAAUAGGAGUUGCUUGCAAUAUAGGUAUUUUAAUUUACUAGUAUGAGAAAAAUCAUUUAGAGCCCUUUGGAUACUCAUUAACAACUUUUAAUUUAUUCAAUAGACUUUGUUGAUGUAUGUUUGUUACUUAUUAUUAUAGUUGAUGUAUCAAUACACUUUGUUUAUAUUUUGAAUUAUAUUGACUUGCUUGUUUAUA